UUAAGGGCUGUAUGAUAUAUAAAUUUCGUAAGUUAAUUAAUACGUCUUAUCCUUCUCGAAAUAAAUUCUUCAAAUCGAAUCAAAUCAAACCAUAAGAAGGCGACUGCUUCUGAAGAGAUCGUUCAAUAGGCGUGAAGAAUGACGUGAAAUGUUACAAGUCAAGGAAACAUGGCAGAAAAAAGUAGGGGUGAUGUGCACCGUUAUGUUGGGGGAAGAUGGCCAGUCAUGAUGACCUUUUAGCUCAGUCAUACCUUAUUUCUGGCUCAACAUUACCGGUCAAAAUAACCUGCAAGGCAAAGAUUUGAACAUCCAAGAUCCAGUUCUGGCCAUACAUUGUCUGAUGACUGGCCGUUAUUCUUAGCCCUACUUUGAUUAUAAAGAUAAAGGUUUAUAUGCAUAAUUUAUGAUAGAAUGGGAGUGUAGGGGCUGGUGUAAGGGAGUUAAGACAGACAGGCUUUCAUCUCUCUUAAGCAAAAUUAGAUACAGUGCAACACACAAAACUAUGAUUAUAAUAUUUAAUGUAUUUGCAUAAUUCUAUGCAAAUGCUUAAGAUGCAAAGCUGGAUGGUUUUACCAAAUAAGGCAUUUAAAAGCUUGUGGCACUGCAAAACCAAGUAUGCAAAUGCAUUAAAUGUGUUCAUAGUUUUGAACAUUGUACAGCCCUUAUCAUUGCUCAUUAAUGAUUCACAAGGAAAACACAAUAGAAAUCAUGACUGUAGAGGAGUUUGUAAUUCUGAUACUUUAACUUGAAUUUUCUCUUUUAGAUUCACUCUUAUCUUGAAAAUUUUAGUAGAACACAAAAGAACUAACCUAGGUGUUUAAUGUUAAGUAAUAUACAAUAUAAGCUGUCAUGUUGUAUAGAAUAUACAAUCACUCCCCUCCGGCUUGUGUUUGCAUAUUGUAUAUGACACAGCCACUCAUAUCUUAUACAGUCUUUUGAUAAAAACGUUAUUGUUGACUAGCUCUGUGACUAUGUGACUAGYCCCAAAGGCRGUAUGGGUAAAAAUCACUGAAGCAAUAGAUGUUGAAUAAAUGUUGAGAAGUACUCAGCUACCAGUC